GACGAACGCUGGCGGCAGGCCUAACACAUGCAAGUCGAGCGGAGCGGCGGACGGGUGAGUAAUGCCUAGGUAUCUGCCUGGUAGUGGGGGAUAACGUCCGGAAACGGGCGCUAAUACCGCAUCCUAUCAGAUUAGCCUAGGUCGGAUUAGCUAGUUGGUGGGGUAAAGGCCUACAAAGGCGACGAUCCGUAACUGGUCUGAGAGGAUGAUCAGUCACACGGGAACUGAGCAACGGUCCAGACUCCUACGGGAGGCAGCAGUGGGGAAUAUUGGACAAUGGGCGAAAGCCUGAUCCAGCCAUGCCGCGUGUGUGAAGAAGGUCUUCGGAUUGUAAAGCACUUUAAGUUGGGAGGCGUUACCAACAGAAUAAGGACCGGCUAACUUCGUGCCAGCAGCCGCGGUAAUUC
rnacentral:rRNA from 1 species